UACGUAGGGCGCGAGCGUUGUCCGGAAUUAUUGGGCGUAAAGAGCUCGUAGGCGGCCUGUCGCGUCCGCUGUGAAAUCCCGGGGCUCAACCCCGGGCGUGCAGUGGAUACGGGCUGGCUGGAGGCAGGCAGGGGAGAACGGAAUUCCUGGUGUAGUGGUGAAAUGCGUAGAGAUCAGUGGGAACACCGGUGGCGAAGGCGGCCUACUGGGCCAGCACUGACGCUGAGGCGCGAAAGCUCGGGGAGCGAACGGG
rnacentral:rRNA from 1 species